GACGAACGCUGGCGGCGUGCUUAACACAUGCAAGUCGAACGAUGAAGCCGGAGCUUGCUCUGGUGAAUUAGUGGCGAACGGGUGAGUAACACGUGAGUAACCUGCCCUUGACUCUGGGAUAACUGCGGGAAACUGUAGCUAAUACCGGAUACGACCCUCGGAGGCAUCUCCUGGGGGUGGAAAGAAUUUCGGUCAAGGAUGGACUCGCGGCCUAUCAGCUAGUCGGUGAGGUAAAGGCUCACCAAGGCGACGACGGGGAGCCGGCCUGAGAGGGUGACCGGCCACACUGGGACUGAGACACGGCCCAGACUCCUACGGGAGGCAGCAGUGGGGAAUAUUGCACAAUGGGCGCAAGCCUGAUGCAGCAACGCCGCGUGAGGGAUGACGGCCUUCGGGUUGUAAACCUCUUUUAGCAGGGAAGAAGCGAAAGUGACGGUACCUGCAGAAAAAGCACCGGCUAACUACGUGCCAGCAGCCGCCGUAA
rnacentral:rRNA from 1 species